rnacentral:lncRNA from 1 species
UCCUACAAAACCAUCAAAGAUAGGAAAGUCCUCAUGUUGGAAGGUUCCUCAGUGGCAGACUCUUCGAUGCCUAAAUCAGUUUUCCACGGAAGCAAGCAGAAGAGGUCUGAGUUGUAGAUGGAGAUUAGCAGUGGUAUCAAAUAUGAAGUGUAGAAGAUCGGUGUAGGAGAAUGGAGUGUGGAAAAUGGAGGAUGCCAUAUGGAG